rnacentral:sRNA from 1 species
UCUUAAACGUUAGUGUCCUAAACUCC